UGGGGAAUAUUGCACAAUGGGCGCAAGCCUGAUGCAGCCAUGCCGCGUGUAUGAAGAAGGCCUUCGGGUUGUAAAGUACUUUCAGGCGGGAGGAAGGUGGUAAGGUUAAUAACCUUAUCAAUUGACGUUACCGACAGAAGAAGCACCGGCUAACUCCGUGCCAGCAGCCGCGGUAAUACGGAGGGUGCAAGCGUUAAUCGGAAUUACUGGGCGUAAAGCGCACGCAGGCGGUUGAUUGAGUCAGAUGUGAAAUCCCCGGGCUUAACCCGGGAAUUGCAUCUGAUACUGGUCAGCUAGAGUCUUGUAGAGGGGGGUAGAAGUCCAUGUGUAGCGGUGAAAUGCGUAGAGAUGUGGAGGAAUACCGGUGGCGAAGGCGGCCCCCUGGACAAAGACUGACGCUCAGGUGCGAAAGCGUGGGGAGCAAACAGG
rnacentral:rRNA from 1 species